rnacentral:rRNA from 1 species
CCUACGGGAGGCAGCAGUGAGGAAUAUUGGUCAAUGGGCGCGAGCCUGAACCAGCCAAGUAGCGUGAAGGAUGAAGGCCCUACGGGUGGUAAACUUCAUUUAUAAAGGAAUAAAGUGAGGCACGUGUGCAUUUUUGUAUGUACUUUAUGAAUAAGGAUCGGCUAACUCCGUGCCAGCAGCCGCGGUAAUACGGAGGAUCCGCGCGUUAUCCGGAUUUAUGGGGUUUAAAGGGAGCGUAGAUGGGUUGUUAAGUCAGUUGUGAAAGUUUGCGGCUCAACCGUAAAAUUGCAAUUGAUACUGGCAGCCUUGAUUACAGUUGAGGUAGGCGGAAUUC